rnacentral:rRNA from 1 species
CCCUUAGAUGUCCGGGGCCGCACGCGCGCUACACUGAAGGAAUCAGCGUGGCUUUCUCCCUGACCCGAAAGGGUUGGGAAACCCGUUGAAUCUCCUUCGUGAUAGGGAUUGGGGCUUGAAAUUGUUCCCCAUGAACGAGGAAUUCCCAGUAAGCGCGAGUCAUAAGCUCGCGUUGAUUACGUCCCUGCCCUUUGUACACACCGCCCGUCGCUACUACCGAUUGAAUGGUUUAGUGAGGCCUUCGGAUCCGCGAUUUUAUUGUGGAGAAGUUGGACAAACUCAGUCAUUUAGAGGAAGUAAAAGUCGUAACA